GACGCCUCUUCCCUGCUUCUGCGACCGCAGCUGGGCACUCGGAAAGUUGCUAGGGCCGAAGAGGCUGGAGGGGAGGAAGGGAAGAGAGAGGCGGAGGCGUGGACCAGGCGGGCAGCAGCCUCAGCCCGCCGGGGAGCGCCGCGGCAUCCGGACCUGGGGGAACCCCUCCUACUGACCCCCGUCUCCUAGGAUGAGGGAUUAAGCGACCACCGAGGACCCUGAGGUCUCACCAGAGCUUCUGACCCCACCCGCCCCUGGAGUUGUCUCGGUGCGCGCGGGUGGCAGCCCGAGCAGCCCUAGAGGAGGCGGCGGUUCCCGCCCUGGUGAAGGCGCCGCGGCGCACGCUAGCCCAGGGAAAAGCCCGCGCCGCCUCCGCGCCCAGCUGUGCCUUGGCCCCCACGCCGCCCCGACCCCGCUCCGGCCGCUGCGAGUCCACUCGGUGACCUCGGCGCAGCCCUGGUGCCAAGAGGGCGCGCGGGAGGCCGCGUGGGUGCCCGUCUGAGCGGGCAGGAGCCCCGGGGGGCCCUCGCCCUCCACCCGGCCCGGCCCUCCCUCUCCACCCGGCCCGGCCCUCUCCCGCCCCCGCGGCCCGCGCCCAGCCCGGCUCUUACCGCGGGGUCAGCGGGGAGGCAGCGGCCGCAGCGCUUGAGCCGCUGCUGGUCCGCUCUGGGCUCGGCGCCAGCCCGGCUGCCGGUGCACACUCACGGGUCCCGGCCCGGCGGCCCGCUCGGCGGUGACUGCGGGUGCGCGGCGGGCGAGGGUCCCGGCAGGUCCCGCCGCCGCGACUCGGGCGCUGCGCCGCCGUCGCUGCAGACGGUUAUGGUAAUGAGCGGCUCUGUCUAGCGAGCAGCGUGUGAAACCCGUCAAUCCUGUUUGCCAUUUCCCCGUGGAUUUCCGAGGAGAGGUUCUGCAGGAUGCCCCCAGGCAAACGGAGAUGAGAAACAGAUGUCUUUGCAGGACCAAACAGUUACUCUCCCUCGCCGCCCCCGCCCGUUUCCCUCCUGAGCUGCUGAUCCUCCGACUGUGAAAAACCAAACCUCUGGCUGCCUGGCACCCUAGGAAUCAAGAAGACGCACAGACUGAAAAUCAAGGGAAGAAGGAACAAGAUCAAGGAUGAGGAUUAGCAUCUGCAAAUUGAACUCUAUCUAAUUUGCAUGUUUAUUUCUUAGAAUUGUAAUUAAAUUUGUGUAAUAAAUGUUUUCCAUUUCAUUUGUACACUUAAAACUUGGGUGACUGACAUGCAGUUAAGUGAAUUUCCUUUUUUUUUUUUUUAAAGCAAAUGUAGUUUAUUCAAUAAAGUAGCAAACCAAUAUUAAACAUAAUUAGAACUAA